rnacentral:rRNA from 1 species
GGCGUGCCUAAUACAUGCAAGUAGAACGCUGAGGACUGGUGCUUGCACUGGUCUAAGGAGUUGCGAACGGGUGAGUAACGCGUAGGUAACCUACCUCAUAGCGGGGGAUAACUAUUGGAAACGAUAGCUAAUACCGCAUGACAAUAGGGUACACAUGUACCCUAUUUAAAAGGGGCAAAUGCUUCACUAUGAGAUGGACCUGCGUUGUAUUAGCUAGUUGGUAAGGUAACGGCUUACCAAGGCGACGAUACAUAGCCGACCUGAGAGGGUGAUCGGCCACACUGGGACUGAGACACGGCCCAGACUCCUACGGGAGGCAGCAGUAGGGAAUCUUCGGCAAUGGGGGGAACCCUGACCGAGCAACGCCGCGUGAGUGAAGAAGGUUUUCGGAUCGUAAAGCUCUGUUGUUAGAGAAGAACGGUAAUGGGAGUGGAAAAUCCAUUACGUGACGGUAACUAACCAGAAAGGGACGGCCAACUACGUGCCAGCAGCCGCGGUAAUACGUAGGUCCCGAGCGUUGUCCGGAUUUAUUGGGCGUAAAGCGAGCGCAGGCGGUUUGAUAAGUCUGAAGUUAAAGGCUGUGGCUUAACCAUAGUUCGCUUUGGAAACUGUCAAACUUGAGUGCAGAAGGGGAGAGUGGGAUUCCAUGUGUAGCGGUGAAAUGCGUAGAUAUAUGGAGGAACACCGGUGGCGAAAGCGGCUCUCUGGUCUGUAACUGACGCUGAGGCUCGAAAGCGUGGGGAGCAAACAGGAUUAGAUACCCUGGUAGUCCACGCCGUAAACGAUGAGUGCUAGGUGUUAGGCCCUUUCCGGGGCUUAGUGCCGGAGCUAACGCAUUAAGCACUCCGCCUGGGGAGUACGACCGCAAGGUUGAAACUCAAAGGAAUUGACGG